CAUAAAUUAAGAAUAUGUUACUGUGGAUGAGGUUUCACUGUAACAUAUUUUUAAUUUCUAUAAAUUAGGAUCUAGAAAUAACUAUAUCUUCUUAAAUUUGCGUUUAUCGGACGGACGAUGUGUACAGGCUUCAGCCUACCGCAGUUGCGUGGUAAGCGCGUAGAUAAGAACGGCAAGAUGAUACUGACUUUCGACACAACAAAGUUUAGAGAACACUACGGUUCACAUAAACUUGGGAUCUUUAUUGAGAGAGAGCGAUAUUGGCAUUACACAAUUCCCAUGGAGGACAAAUACCUUUCUUUUUGUCGAAGAUGCACGGUCUUCUC
rnacentral:lncRNA from 1 species